ensembl:ncRNA T06A1.9 ncRNA
GGGAAGGCGGAUAGGGCAAUAACUCCCAAGUAGUUGUUCCACAUUCCGAAAUCAAAUCCUAGCACCGGCCCAUACCAGGCUGCCAAGCAAGGGGAGAAGCUGAUGCAAAUGGGGAUGA